UCAAGUAGAGCAUAAAAUCUACUAUCUUCUAUGAUUUAAAAAGAUUUUCAUCAACUUUAUCGCUGAGACUCAGCUUAAUAAAUAAACCACAUCAUCCCUGCACCACGACCAAGAAUAUUCAUGUAAUCAUCAAUGGUCAUGAUUAUACCGAAUAAUCCCUGGUCAUAAUCAUACCAACAACUGUCCACCAAUGAACUACA
rnacentral:lncRNA from 1 species